CUGGAGUGUCCCGGUGCGGAUAGUUCUGGUGUCGC
rnacentral:sRNA from 1 species